rnacentral:lncRNA from 1 species
UGGAUGGUAGCAUUGUGUAGGAUUAAUUUGAAGAGGAGGCAAAAGGUGUGAUUCAUUCACACUCUAUUUGGAACAAAAGGAGAUUGUGUCCAGGAUUGGGGUUCAAGGAAUGGAGAAGUUACAGCGAAUAUGAGACAGCACUGGAAAAACAGCACAACAUUCAGCAACUCUGCUUUAAGAAAACCCAGCUGAAACUCUCAAUGAGUCUUUGGUUGACCAGGAUUGCAUGUCUAUAUCUGUUUUCACGAGAAGCCACUUUGAAGAUAUCAAUAUGGAAUACAACAACCAUUGUUAAUUCCCUACCACUUUGUUUGUAACUCUGUAUUGUCUGUAUUGUGCUUGUGAUAUGUUGUAAAAUGUUGUAUGUCUGUUAAUGUUUCCCUCCUUUUAUCUUUAAAAAAAAAAAAAAGAAAGAAAACCCAGCUGUGCAAGCAUGACAAUAGAUGGCACCUAGGUAGUGUAACUGAAGACAGACUUGCUAGGCCCAACACCUGCUCCUGCUGAGGGCUGGCCUGAGGGUAUGCGUCCUACGUUGUGUCAGAACUUCCAGGGCUCUGGAUGUCAACUGAGACCUCCCAAGUUCCAAAAUGUUGAUUCAAAUCUUUUAAAACACAGAACAGGUCAGACUAAAUAGAGCUGCACACUGAAAGCAGUCUGUGGGUCCUGUGUUGACAGCCUCUGCUCUCAGUC